rnacentral:rRNA from 1 species
UACGGAGGGUGCGAGCGUUGUCCGGAAUCACUGGGCGUAAAGGGCGCGUAGGCGGCCUGAUAAGUAGGGGGUGAAAUCCUGCGGCUUAACCGCAGGGCUGCCUUCUAAACUGUCGGGCUCGAGCACAGUAGAGGCAGGUGGAAUUCCGGGUGUAGCGGUGGAAUGCGUAGAGAUCCGGAGGAAGACCGGUGGCGAAGGCGGCCUGCUGGGCAGAUACUGACACUGAGGCGCGACAGCGUGGGGAGCAAACAGG